rnacentral:rRNA from 2 species
AACGACUCUCGGCAACGGAUAUCUCGGCUCUCGCAUCGAUGAAGAACGUAGCGAAAUGCGAUACUUGGUGUGAAUUGCAGAAUCCCGUGAACCAUCGAGUCUUUGAACGCAAGUUGCGCCCGAAGCCAUUAGGCUGAGGGCACGCCUGCCUGGGCGUCACACGUC